CGCGGGGAAGAGCAGCCCGGUCGCUCGCAUGGCUCAUAACCAUGAGGUCGCAGGUUCGAAUCCUGCCCCCGCUA
rnacentral:tRNA from 1 species